UGUACAUCUGGUUGCCGGACAUGCUGGUAGACUUCUUCUUCAGCUCCUCGUCCAGCACGUCUCUCUGCUCCAGCAGAGCACGAAGACUAUGGAUGUCCUCGCACUCCUGCUGUCGGUGAGACAAGCUCUUACAUGCACCAAGGUUUCGAUGCAGCUCCUCCUGUUCCUUCAGCAGCUUCUCUAUCUCCUGCCUUCACUCACAUCACAUAAACAGCAGAUUAGGCAAAAAACACAUAUACACACACUGUUGUGGAUGGGAUGCAGGUGUAGUGCUUAUUCACUGUUGUUUGCGGAUCUGCUCGCGGGCCUGAAGGUUGUAGGCCUGCCGAUCUCCUUCCAUGAUCUUGAACUGCCUCUGCAGUUUGGCUAUCUCUGAUUCUGCUUGAAAAACAUCAUAUGCACAUUAUAGCUGCUUCCACCAUGCAACUGGCAAAAUAACAUUACUGAGAGAGCAUCAACAUCUAAUAGUUCAUAAUAACAAUAUUACCUGUGCCAUCAAUAUCCACCUCACUGCUGUCUGAGCGGGCACUUGUGGCUGAUCUUCCUCGAGGCAUGGUUACACUGGGCUUCAUGAAAAUAAUAAUGAAAUAUUGAACUUGUCCUUGUCUUCUGACCAUUAAGUUUAAUUAAACCUAUAUAUUUAGUCUCAUAUUCAGCCUUCAAACCUAAAUUAAAAACUGAAUAUAACACAAAAUAUGUUAAAACAGUUUUUUCAUGAUUGCCUGGAUUCAUUUGAUUGACACUGAUCUUAAGAUGUAAAAUAGGAAAUGAAGACAUUUGAUAUACUCUCUGCUUACAUUGGUUUUGAAAUAGCAGUUAAUGGACAGGCUACAUGCAAGAUUGUUUUGUCUUAAUUAUCUACAUGAGAAAUACAUUUGAUAAUACAUGGUAUUUGUUAUUUGAUUAUUACAUUUUGUAUGAUAUCGUUACACAAAAUGCAGAUUAUAGAAAAAUAUAGAACAUCAAGUUUCCCCCCAACGGUUUUACAUUAAACAGUAAAAUAUACACUUUUAACCUUUACUUAAUCAGGGGAGCUUCACUGAGAGGAAGCUGCCCACCUGGAAGCUGUCCAGUACAACCACAGACAAUAUUUACAGUAGGCUACAUUUGAUUAAUCAAACCUAAAUAUUUAAAUGUAGAUUCAAAGUCAUCAAGCAGAAUUAGAUAAAGGCAUCACAUUGCAGGGCAGGUCAUCAAAACUACACACAAUGCUCAUUAGUAAAGUUACUUAGCUAAAACACAGUAGUCAUGGUACUUGCUAGCUGUAACAUUUAGCUUGAAUAUAGUUGGCUGACAUAUGAAAGGUACAGAAGAAGUUUCUGAUAAAGGAUUAGGAUAAAUAAUAAUUUAGCUCACCAGCUGAAAGUUUAAAAACACCCCAGUGUCACCUCCCAGGACACACAACAGGCUUACAGCAGCCUAAGUUGUUAGCAACCGUUACCAAGUGAUCCGGUCUACAAAUCCCUGAACUCAGACUCUCAGGCAGUAGUUUACAGGUUGGUUGAGUGGUAAAGGUUAUGGUGUUGACUGAGACUCGAGUCUGCAAGGAAUAAACAAUAAAGGGAUUUAUACACACACACAGUGUGAAAGGAGGAGAUGGGAUUUCCAGGGUUGUAUAUCUGUGGCCAAAGGUUAGCUGGAUGCCAACAAGAGGGUCAGCAGCGGACUGGGACAAAAAUUCAGCCCUGGCACAGUACCAGCCCACCUUACCCCGGAUCCCCACUCACGAACACACACAUUCACUGCUUUAAUUUGUGUGCAGAUGGUGAAAAAAUAUAAGCAGUCCCGUGUGUAACAGAUUUGUAACAUUUAAGCAUGUGACUGUCAAACAAAGCUUUAACACACGUUUAUAACAAAUUUACACAGUAAAAACAACAGCUCUCCAUCUGAGUAUGUUGUAGAGUCUGUGUGCUGUCUGUCUAUGCCAUUUGUCUGCUGUGUCAUUCUCUACUGCAGUUAAUUACAAACCCAAAUUACAUUUGUGUGUCACUAAUUUUCUUCCUACCACUAACUUCUAAUCGGGUUGGUCAGACCAUCUCAAAACCAGGCCAGCAACUGCCGACUGGGGCAAAUUAUAGAUAAUUAAUAAAGAUAUUGUUUAUAUAUUAUGGAUAUAUCUAUAGUGUUUCCCAAAGAAAGGAAACAGUCAAAUUGGUGUCCCCCCCAGCGAGUGGCAUAUGCAUAAAAUGCCACAUACUGUAUAUAGCCUAUGUAACCCUUGGGUUUGAGUUAAAAGGUGCAUAGCAGCACACAGCGGAUAGGCUGCAAGUCUGGCUUCGAGGUAGACCAUCCUGAGCCUUUCUUUAUCUUCAUCUUUAUGAGAGGAAUGCUAAAAACCUUCACUCGCAAUAACAUGGGACAGCUGUGAGUCAUUCAGCAGCUACAUGACUUCUUUAUCAAAGUCAUUGAAAAGUCCUGAGGAAGAACCGGCGCCAUCCUUUCUCCUCAAGUGAACUCUCGGCUGUAAUGAGUGAAAGUAUAUUUUAUCAUCCUGACUUUGUGGUGCUGGUCUGUACAUUGACAAGGUUUUUGUCAUACAGGCGCUUUCACACUGCCUUAGCUAAGCAGCUCAACAUAUCUCAAGAAUAUUGAAGAGCUCACUAAGUUGUGUGAGCUCAGUGGCCUCUCUGUUAAUGAAAAGAAAACUAAAGAGCUAGCGAUCAUGAGACACAACACACAACAGUGCUUGUCCAUGUUUUUCUCCUGUUUUGAUUAAGAAUAAGCCCCUUUGAGAUGGGUGAGUAGUUUAAAUAUUUGGGAACCAUCUUUGAUUGUAAAUUACGUUUUACAACCAACACAAAGUACAUUUUUAAAAAAGCAAUGCAGCGUCUGUAUGUGAUCUGGAAAUUGUACUCAUAUGACAUAAGCAAGAAUAUCCUAGAGAGUGUUUAUCAAAAUCACAUCCAAAGCAUUCUAACUUUUAAUAUAUGUACCUGGUAUGGACACACUUGGGGGUGAAGGACAAAAACAGAUUGGGCAGAAUUACAAAUUUGGCUGGUGUUGUGUUAUUUAUUGUGUUUUUGUAUUGUGAUUUGUUAAAUGAUGUGGUUUUUAAUCAGCCUGUGAAGCCAAAGACCAAUUUCCACAUUUGUGGACAAUAAAAACAUUUGAUUUUAUGACUUAUUUUCCAGGAUUAUUAUGUAUCCCUAAAAGUUCUCUGUGCAUUUCGUAGUGUACUUUAGUGGUGUUUCGCACUGAUUUGACCCUGUAGACUUAUUUGUUCAGAGCUUGGUUGUGUAAGCUUAAAUAUGGUACUGUAACUUGUGUAAAUUCUCUCUCUCUUGCUCUCUCCCAAGUGGUAGAAGCAAGCCUCUCUGUCUUUAAGUGUUUUGUGGAUCCAUGCUGUUUGUUGACAUGUUAAAAAACACAGUAGCUAGAGAAAUAUUGUAGUUUUACUGGUAUGUAGUCUAUGUUUGAAAUGGUGCCCCGCCAAUUUUUACAUAUAAAUACGACACUGGUCAAAUCUGUGGUUAAAGUGGGAUAUUUCAAGAAUAACUAUCCUAGUUGUUUGUAACAAGAUAGUAUGGUUAAUAAAUAAUUACAUGACGCUA